AUCUCAGAAGCUCAAAGAGCGAGCAAGAGCCUGAAAAACUCAAAGAUGCAGGAUAAGCCCCUGUCUAAGAUA
rnacentral:tRNA from 1 species